UACGUAGGGGGCUAGCGUUGUCCGGAAUCAUUGGGCGUAAAGAGCGUGUAGGCGGCUCGGUAAGUCCGCUGUGAAAGUCCAGGGCUCAACCCUGGAAUGCCAGUGGAAACUGUCGAGCUAGAGUCCGGAAGAGGCGAGUGGAAUUCCUGGUGUAGCGGUGAAAUGCGCAGAUAUCAGGAGGAACACCAAUGGCGAAGGCAGCUCGCUGGGACGGUAGCUGACGCUGAGACGCGAAAGCGUGGGGAGCAAACAGG
rnacentral:rRNA from 1 species